AAAAACAUUUCUUUUGAACCAUUUUGUAGCACUUAUUCUUUGAAGCUCAUUCUUGUCUGUUCAUAGCCGCAAAACAGAGGAAAUACGUGCUUGCUCAUUCUUCUCACACACGUACUAGAACCACAGAAAAUAUUGGGAAGACAGAUUGGAAGUCAGAGGCAUCCCAGACCUACUAACAGCAGCACAAUGAAAAUUGGAGACCUUGAAUGAUAAUAAAACAACUGAGUUGGUAAAAACUCAACUGAUGGAGCUCUCAUGUGGAACAUAUUGUGUCUACAAUGUUACAGUGUAAUCUACAAGGACUUUUGAUUUAUACCAUUUCUCUUUUAUAAUUCACUCUGCCCUGAGGAACUGCAGUCAGGCAGAAGGCUAGGAGACUGGAAGAAUGCAGACAAACUAUGGAAUCAUAUAUAAGCAACCUGACAAGCACAAAGCAUUAAAAAAAAAAUAAAAUCUGCAUUUCAAAUAGACUUGCAUCAGGAGUUCUUAAGCUUGUUUCUGGGCUACGCCACAUGGUUAGAGAAAGAUUGCGUUGUGUAGUCU